rnacentral:rRNA from 1 species
CCUGAACGCUGGCGGCGUGGCUAAGACAUGCAAGUCGUACGGUGUAGCAAUACACAGUGGCGAACGGGUGAGUAAUGAAUCGCUAAUGUGCCCCGGACUCUGGGAUAGCCGACCGAAAGGACGGGUAAUACCGGAUGAGACCACGAACAGGCAUCUGUUUGUGCUCAAAGGUCCGCCGGUCUGGGAGCAGGCGAUUUCGUAUCAGCUAGUUGGUAGGGUAACGGCCACCAAGGCGACGACGCGUAGCCGGACUGAGAGGUUGACCGGCCACAUCGGGACUGAGACACUGCCCGGACUCCUACGGGGGGCUGCAGUAACGAAUCUUCCGCAAUGCACGAAAGU